UACGAAGGGGGCUAGCGUUGUUCGGAAUUACUGGGCGUAAAGCGUGCGCAGGCGGCCUUUCAAGUCAGUGGUGAAAGCCCGGAGCUCAACUCCGGAACUGCCAUUGAAACUGUUGGACUUGAGUACGAGAGAGGUGAGUGGAAUUCCCAGUGUAGAGGUGAAAUUCGUAGAUAUUGGGAAGAACACCGGUGGCGAAGGCGGCUCACUGGCUCGUAACUGACGCUCAGGCGCGACAGCGUGGGGAUCAAACAGG
rnacentral:rRNA from 1 species